rnacentral:rRNA from 1 species
GAUUAAGUUAUUAAGGGCGCACGGUGGAUGCCUUGGCACUAGAAGCCGAUGAAGGACGUUACUAACGACGAUAUGCUUUGGGUAGCUGUAAGUAAGCGUUGAUCCAGAGAUUUCCGAAUGGGGGAACCCAGCAUGAGUUAUGUCAUGUUAUCGACAUGUGAAUUCAUAGCAUGUCAGAAGGCAGACCCGGAGAACUGAAACAUCUUAGUACCCGGAGGAAGAGAAAGAAAAAUCGAUUCCCUGAGUAGCGGCGAGCGAAACGGGAAAAGCCCAAACCAACAAGCUUGCUUGUUGGGGUUGUAGGACACUCUAUACGGAGUUACAAAAGAACAUGUUAGACGAAUCAUCUGGAAAGAUGAAUCAAAGAAGGUAAUAAUCCUGUAGUCGA